UACGUAGGGUGCGAGCGUUAAUCGGAAUUACUGGGCGUAAAGCGUGCGCAGGCGGUUCGUUGUGUCGGCGGUGAAAGCCCCGGGCUCAACCUGGGAAUGGCCGUUGAAACUGGCGAACUGGAGUGUGGCAGAGGGGGGUGGAAUUCCGCGUGUAGCAGGUGAAAUGCGUAGAGAUCGGGAGGAACAUCAGUUGCGAAGGCGGCUCUCUGGACCAGCACUGACACUGAGGCACGAAAGCGUGGGGAGCAAACAGG
rnacentral:rRNA from 1 species